rnacentral:rRNA from 1 species
UCCAGACUCCUACGGGAGGCAGCAGUGAGGAAUAUUGGUCAAUGGGCGAGAGCCUGAACCAGCCAAGUCGCGUGAGGGAAGACGGUCCUAUGGAUUGUAAACCUCUUUUGCCGGGGAGCAAAAAGCGGUACGUGUACCGCAUCGAGAGUACCCGGAGAAAAAGCAUCGGCUAACUCCGUGCCAGCAGCCGCGGUAAUACGGAGGAUGCGAGCGUUAUCCGGAUUUAUUGGGUUUAAAGGGUGCGCAGGCGGCGAGUUAGGCCAGGGUAAAAAUUUGGGGCCCCACCCCCGGCGAGCCGUUGAAACUGGCUUGCUAGAGUGGGCGAGAAGUAUGCGGAAUGCGCGGUGUAGCGGUGAAAUGCAUAGAUAUCGCGCAGAACUCCGAUUGCGAAGGCAGCAUGCCGGCUCCACACUGACGCUGAGGCACGAAAGCGUGGGUAUCGAACAGGAUUAGAUACCCCUGUA